ACUUCUCUUUUUGAGAAUAUCUCUCCACCCUAAUUUCAUCUUAGAAACCCUAACACCAACCCACCAUCACCGCUCCACCAUCCAUCUCUUGCACCACCAUAUCCGGCCACCUAUCCACACUCCUUUAACCCUUUCCUCACAACACUUUCGCCAAAAACCCCACUUCCCAACUGAGACCGUCAUCAUCUCCGGUCUUGCCCGUUUGUAGUCGUCGGAAAACUAGCUGAGGUUGGAACCCUUUCUUCACCGCGAGUAACUCCACCACCGUCGGUGGCUGAUCUGGUCUAAAUUCACACACCCCCCGUCGACCUGAAGCAGGUAUGCAUAUCUCCUUUUUAGUUAAAUCGGGAAACUCAGAUCAAGUUUUUGUUGCAGCUGAAAAGUUUGAAUUUUCAAUACCUUAAAUGCUGAAUCUAGGAUAGAAGAUGGUUACCAGGUUCGGGGUUGAGAUUGGUAGUAACCGAAGAACGGUAGGCACGAUCGAUCUGAAAGGAGUAGUUCAGAGUCACCCUUUUAUGUAUUCUAUAAUUUACUAUUUAUUUUUUUUAUUUUAAUCAUUAUACAUAUUGUAUAUAUAAAAAUGAUGUAGCUGGUAUUUCAUAACCCAUAAAGAAUUUUGUUUCAGCUGACAUAUAUGCAAUUUUGUU
rnacentral:lncRNA from 1 species